CCUCAUCUAAUAGUUAUUGGGUCCAACUCCAUCUUUACCUCAGGGCAUCUGAUACCAAUAGAGUAGUUGUGCCUUUUCGAUACAGCCAAACCACUGUAACCAGUCGAGAACGAUCAAUGCCGAAAAAAGCACCCGCAUCUCUACAAUGAUGGAAGAUCAGUGGACUUAAUAUUUAGUAAGGAGAUUUAGAUUUAGAUCUCUUCUAAUUAGUCACUUAUAGCUGAUGUAAUGACUAAUAUGGUUUAGGUCAGCACAUUUUAUGUCUGACCAACCU
rnacentral:lncRNA from 1 species